rnacentral:tRNA from 1 species
GCCGGAGUGGCGGAAUCGGCAGACGCAGCGGAUUCAAAAUCCGCCGAGAUUCACCUCUCGUGUGGGUUCGAGUCCCACCUCCGGCACCA